UACGAGUGGUGCAAGCGUUAUUCGGAGUGAUUGGGCGUAAAGGGUGUGUAGGUGGUAUGUUAAGUCAAUUGUCAAAUUCCCCGGCCUAACUGGGGCUCGGCAGUUGAUACUGGCGUGCUUGAGGGUGGAAGAGAGAAGUGGAAUUCUCGGAGUAGCGGUAAAAUGCGUAGAUCUCGAGAGGAACACCGAUGGCGAAGGCAGCUUCUUGGUCCACACCUGACACUGAGGCACGAAAGCGUGGGGAGCAAAC
rnacentral:rRNA from 1 species